UGCCUUGUGAAGAAGGUGCUUGCUUC
rnacentral:piRNA from 1 species